GGGGGAAUGGCUCAGGUGAUUGAGCACUUGCUUAGCAAGUGAGCAGCUCUGAGUUCAAAUUCCAGUACUGCCA
rnacentral:tRNA from 1 species